GAUGCUGCUGCUAUAGUACUUUCAGGCAAGGCCAAGGCUUCUUGAAAGGCUGGUCAUGCCCCAGUGAUCAAUGAAGAACUCAGGGAUAUCCCAAAACUCAGGACUAUAAGGCACAAUGGGGGAGCAGGUACCAGGUGGCCAGCAUCCUAAAUGACUCUCAGCAGCUGCAGAGAAGACCAUAAUGGAUGGAUAUAUAGGCUGACGUAUAUCAGUUGGCUUCAGUUGUUUGGUGAUAUUCACCAGAUCUAUAUUUUGCUAUUUUAUGGAUAUUAUUUUCAAUUUCUGAGGUAAGUAUAAUAAAUUCUCAAACUAUAAUUGUUAAUUUACCUACUUGUCCACACAGUUCUGUCUGUGAUUGUUUUCUAUAUUUUAACUACAUGUUGUUUGCUGUAUAUUCCUAC
rnacentral:lncRNA from 1 species